rnacentral:rRNA from 1 species
CAGUCGCCGCGGGAAUACGUAGGUCCCGAGCGUUGUCCGGAUUUAUUGGGCGUAAAGCGAGCGCAGGCGGUUAGAUAAGUCUGAAGUUAAAGGCUGUGGCUUAACCAUAGUACGCUUUGGAAACUGGGAAACUUGAGUGCAGAAGAGGAGAGCGGAAUUCCACGUGUAGCGGUGAAAUGCGUAGAGAUGUGGAGGAACACCAGUGGCGAAGGCGACUCUCUGGUCUGUAACUGACGCUGAGGAGCGAAAGCGUGGGGAGCGAACAGGAUUAGAUACCCCGGUAGUCCCUGUCUCUUAUACA